ensembl:ncRNA lncRNA:CR46408 long non-coding RNA:CR46408
UUCAGUGGGUUAAUAUGCUGUGCACUUGGCAUCCAGUGGAGUAACCAGAGCACACCGUCUUGGACAUGCAAAGUCAUCUUCUUCACCUCGACUUAACAUGACUCGCUGCCAGUCACAGAGAAAAAAAUAUUCGAUAAUAUAAAAAAUUACUUGAAGACUUUACAAAUCAAGUUAAUAUAAUAACUCGAAAAUAUGAGUAAUAUCUUAACAUUAUAAAUACAUAUAGGAUUGGUGAAUUUCAUUAAAUUAUUUAACCAGGCUAAGUUAAAU